GGAGGCGUUCUGGACGCGGGUUCGAUUCCCGCCACCUCCACCA
rnacentral:tmRNA from 1 species